rnacentral:rRNA from 1 species
UUGGCACGGAAAUCCCAGGGCUUUUGUGAUGCGCUCUCGAAGAGUCGAGUUGUUUGGGAAUGCAGCUCAAAAUGGGKGGUGAACUCCAUCUAAAGCUAAAUAUUGGCGAGAGACCGAUAGCGAACAAGUACCGUGAGGGAAAGAUGAAAAGCACUUUGGAAAGAGAGUGAAACAGUACGUGAAAUUGUUGAAAGGGAAACGCUUAAAGUCAGUCGCGUCGACCGAGACUCAGCCUUGCCUAGGCUUGGUGUACUUCUCGGCCGACGGGUCAGCAUCAAUUUUGAUCCUCGGAUAAUGGCGAGGGAAAGGUAGCACCUUUACGGGUGUGUUAUAGUCCCAUGUCGCAUGCGGGGGUCGGGAUUGAGGAACUCAGCAUGCACCCCUCGGUGUCAGGGCCUUUUGGCCCAUGUUACGUGCUUAGGAUGCUGGCAUAAUGGCUUUAAACGACCCGUCUUGAAACACGGACCAAGGAGUCUAACAUACCCGCGAGUGUUUGGGUGGAAAACCCAUGCGCGUAAUGAAAGUAAAAGUUGGGACCUCUGUCGUGGAGGGCACCGACGCCUGGACCAGACCUUCUGUGACGGCUCUGCGGUAGAGCGUGUAUGUUGGGACCCGAAAGAUGGUGAACUAUGCCUGAAUAGGGUGAAGCCAGAGGAAACU